UGGAUUUGCUUCAGCAGGAAUAGAAGCAAAACCCGAAUUUGAAGACCUAAUCAUGCCGAAGCAAAUCCACGAGAUCAAGGAUUUCCUCCUAACAGCAAGGAGGAAGGAUGCACGAUCUGUCAAGAUCAAGAAGAACAAGGAUAUGGUUAAGUUCAAGGUUCGCUGCUCCAAGUACCUUUACACACUCUGUGUGUCUGACUUUGAGAAGGCUGACAAGUUG
rnacentral:misc_RNA from 1 species